GGAAAAGAAACUAACAAGGAUUCCCCUAGUAACGGCGAGUGAACCGGGAAGAGCUCAAAUUUGAAAUCUGGCGUGCUCAGUGCGUCCGAGUUGUAAUCUAUAGAGGCGUUUUCCGUGCCGGACUGUGUCUAAGUCCCUUGGAACAGGGUAUCAAAGAGGGUGAUAAUCCCGUACUUGACACAAUGACCGGUGCUCUGUGAUACGUCUUCUACGAGUCGAGUUGUUUGGGAAUGCAGCUCAAAAUGGGUGGUGAGUUCCAUCUAAAGCUAAAUAUUGGCGAGAGACCGAUAGCGAACAAGUACCGUGAGGGAAAGAUGAAAAGCACUUUGGAAAGAGAGUUAAACAGUACGUGAAAUUGUUGAAAGGGAAACGAUUGAAGUCAGUCGUGACUGAGAGGCUCAGCCGGUUCUGCCGGUGUAUUCCCCUCAGUCGGGUCAACAUCAGUUUUGUUCGGUGGAUAAGGGCAGCUGGAAGGUGGCACCUCCGGGUGUGUUAUAGCCAGCUGUCGCAUACAUCGAAUGAGACUGAGGAAUGCAGCUCGCCUUUAUGGCCGGGGUUCGCCCACGUCCGAGCUUAGGAUGUUGACAUAAUGGCUUUAAACGACCCGU
rnacentral:rRNA from 1 species